rnacentral:lncRNA from 1 species
GCAGCGUGAAGUUUUGUAACGGCUUGAGAAAAAGGAGAAAAUAAAGAGGGUAAAUUAGGGCACGACAAGGGCCCUUGGCUACAUGAUUUUGUGUGCGCGUGUUCAUUAUGUGUUGAUGUGAUCGAUCCGUGGACGGAGUUCCAACAAUUGGUAUCUAGAGCAAGGUCGAGGUGAAGUUGCGCUUGCCCCGGGGAGGCGACCCGACUAGCGCCUCGGGGCAGGCGAUAUGGUCGCUGGGUGGUGCAGCGACGAGGAGCGGCGGGCAAUAGUCGUUCGUGGAGCGACGGAUGUGGAGGUUCAGGAGAUCGUCGUUCGCCGAAGCGGCAAGGAGGGACAACAGGCUGACGUCGGCAAGGCGGUGGAAGAAAAUCGUUGACGGGAGCGAUGGUGCCAAGGUGCGGUGCUGAGAAACCAUCAAGGUCGUCGCCCACGGGAGUUGGAGUCAAGGAGUCGUGCGGGUUUGCACGGUCAGUCGGUUGUCGUCAUCGUGUCUGAGUCGACAUGUCCAAGUACUCAUCUCUGUGAGGAGGUGUUGAAGAUGAAGCUCAUGUCGUCUAUGUGUCUCGACGGGAGGAUCAAGUUCAAGUAUGUGGGGACGGUAAUCCAGUGAAGGUGAGUCUCUUCAAUGAGGCCAUGUCUCUACAUGAGGCUGGAGUGCAUGGUGUAGUGCACGGGGUGAUGUGAUCCACAAGGAGUCGGCAUGUAUCUCUUUAGGGUGGAUGGUAUAGUCCACCGGGUGGUGUAUUCCACAUGUUACUGGCAAGGUUGGGUAGCCCAAAGCAUAUUUGACAUGAUCCGUAAAUUCGCCAAGUUGAAAUUGGAGAGAGAUUGUUGCAAUCAAUGAAGCCUAUCAAUUUGACUUGUCAUGGUGCGAGGUGAAUGAGUCGACAAGGGAUGAAUCUUCAAGGAGCAAGACCGGAGAAGCAUAGAAAACAAAGUGUCAAGAUUAGGAAGAGUUUGUUAGUAUAAUCUUGAUUGUGAUACAUGUGUUUUCAGUAGUAUACGGUAUCCGGGUCAAGCUGAGUUUGGUAAUUAUGAUCAACGUUGCCGGAUCAUUAGAUUAGGAAAGUAACAUAGCCGAGUCCGGUUAAGUUUGGUAAUUAUGAUCAACGUUGCCGGAUCAUUAGAUUAGGAAAGUAACAUGGCCGAGUCCGGUUAGGAGUCUGGUCAUUAUCUUCAAGUAGGACUAGUUUGGGUCGGCUUAGGCGUUGAUCCUGGAGGCAGUAUAUAUAUAUGACUUGAGAAAAAGGAGAAAAUAAAGAGGAAAAAUUAGGGCACGACAAGGACCCUUGGCUACAUGAUUUUGUGUGUGCGUGUUCAUCUUGUGUUGAUGUGAUCGAUAUGUGGGUGGAGUUACAACAAACCAACUGUUCAAACAUUGAAGCGCGGAAUAAUCCGAUGGAAGCUCCUGGCAUAGUUAUAAAAGGUGUGCCUAAGCGAGCGCUUAAGUGCGCCUAAACUCUAGGAGAUAGCAAAACGCCUAGCGCAUAAAUAUGCUUAAUCUACGCAUAAGCAUGUGCUUUGGUCAGAAAAGCGCAAGGCGAUGGCAAAACGCACCCUUAACGCUUAGCGCUUUUUUGAACUAUGGCUGCUGGUACUCUUACUGAAGUAAGGUGAUCCUGUUGCGCUACUGUUCUUAGUCCUAGUGCCAAUUUUCAUUCACAUCAUGGUUUGGUUCAUAUUUUUGAAUAUGCUAGAGCGCAUAAGAAAUCUUUUGGAAUUUUUGCUAAGCACGUAGAGUAUAGGAACGUCUAUUAGUAAGUUACCUGCAAAAGGUUCAGUUUUUAGUCGAUUGUUGCAUCGUGUCUUCAUCUUCCUUGCAUUCCCACCGAUGCCUUAGUUUGCCCUCGUGGACCCGCCGUGUGCCACAAGACAAGCCACCGUCCCUGCCUCGAGCAGACUUUGCUGCCUGCCCAUGCCCUUCACAAGCUACCACCAUUCGAGACAUCCCUCUAACCCCUCCCCCAUUUCUCUACAUGGGUGCCCUCUACCCCAAUAUUUUGGAUUUCAUUUUGCAAAAUAUACCACCCCAGAACGAAACUGGCGAAAUUCAGUAUUCUAGAAAAUUCUGAAUGAAAAGCACCAUCCAAAAUUUGAAUUUGAAUUCUUGAAC